UUUAAUUAAUAAUGUAGGGUUGUGAUACUAAUCAUGCACUGCUGAAUUAAUUAUGUAUGCUGUUCAUCAUGCAAGAUUUGAUAUGGGUUGCUUUGGGCUAUGAAACUCUAGAAUUUACAAAAGCAACAUUUGGUGAAUGCAUUGUACAUUUUACUCAGAAAAACUUCAAUGUCUUCUAGACCUUAGUAUCUGAGAACACUGCAAAUUGCUGUAUCUUAGAAUAUGCACGUCUGCCGGUUAAUACUCUAAGUCAGUGGUUUCCAAAAGUUUUUUAGUAUGGGCUUCUAUUGGCAAAAUAAUUAGCAUGCACAUCAAUGAAUGUAUAUUUAUCUAUUCAUAAAUAGUAAACGUAUAAUAUUGUACUAAUACAUUAUGUAAAUUAUAAAACAGAAAACCUUAUCAUUUGAAAGGGCAAGAUAAAAAAACAAAAAACGUCUUAUACAUCUAUUAGGGCCUAUGCACCCCUCUUGAAGACCAGUGGUUCUAAAUAAGGGAAGUACAUACAUAUAUCCUUGCUUGGGAGCAAGAGACAGGCAUUAGUUCAUGUGGAAAGGGCAACACAGAAAUUAAUGUCAAAUCUAGAAAACAGGGAAAAUAAAAAUUAAAAAUUUGAAGUGAGCAAUUACUAAAGAAAUAAUAUGCUUUAAUCAGAAAUGGGACAGUUCUUUUACUAAUGAGAACAUUGUAUUACUAGCUUGUGAAACCAAAAUAUUCCAUUUAGCACCAUCUAAUAAAGAUGAGGAUAUAAUCUCAGAAAAAGAAUGAAUUAACCAGGACUUGACGGGAAAAGAAUUUAUAAGAAGAAUAAUUUAACUGGUAGCUAGGGUAAGAUAGUGUCAAACUUGCUUUACGGAUGUUAAAAACUAAGAGUAAAAAAUAAAAUACAAAGGUUAAUUUGUGCCUAAUGUCAUUCCUGACACAAAGAAAAGCAGAUUCAUAGACAAUGCAACCUACUUAGCAAGGUAUUUAAGACAGGAGACACUCCUGCUUGUGUAUCUGUUGGAAAGCAAAAAGGAAGGAGGUUCAGACAUAAAAAUAAAACAAAAAGCUACUCAAAGAUGAAAUGGCCAAAGAUUCUACAGGUAAAAAUUUCAGACAGAAUAGCUAUGGGAUCUUGAAGAAAAGUCACACUAGUUGGAGAAAGUGACAUCCAGGCUGACAACACUGAUACAAGCAUGAGUUACUAGAUCACAACACAUCAUUGGGUACCAAUAACGACCAGUGAUGAGAAAGCACACUGGAAAAUUAAAGGAAUGCUCGGACUGAGAAAAUGAGCUAAAAUCUACUUCUGGCAAUAAAUUAUGAAGUCAUUCUAUCACCCAGUUUGAUGAGACAGAUCAUACACCCAUAGCCAAUUUUUUUUAGGAAGUGAAAGAAGGGGUAUUAUUUUGGUAGAUAGCAGCAUCAGUGAGGUAAACACACACACAAACAAAGGGCUUGGAAAUAAGGUUUCCCUCUGAAAGCUAAGCAAGUGUAAGCCAGCCACAAUGGAUGUGAGGAGCAGACUGUAGGACACAAUCAGAGGACUGCCUACCCAGGUAUGACAGCAGAACAUGCACACACCCAACGUGCCAGGCAAGGUUGAGUGGGGACCAGCCAGAUGAAGGGGAAGAAAGGGCGUGUUGCAGGCAGAAGGGGCAGCACGUGCCAAAGCUAGGGGGUGAGAGAGAGCAGGAUGCAUUGAGAGAAUGUUCAAAAGUUCACUAUGGCCAAAGAAGCGAAGAAGGGGGAGCAGGCAGGGGCAGAGCUGUGGAAGGCCUUGCCUGCCCCAUAAGGUUGUUUGACCCUAAUAAGUUCCAAUGCAGUGGGAAGCCAGCCAUUGAGGUGUUUUCCGUGAGACGUGAAGGACUCAGAUUUGAGGGAGAUCUCUUUGGCUGCAGAGUACGUUGGAGCCGUUCCCACCUGCACCCUGCAGCAGAGGCAGGUAGACCAGGACAAUCUGGAGCCUGCCAUCCCAGGGCUUUUAUGCCAGGCAUCAGUAGGAAGAAAGAGUGUCAGAAGCAUACCGUAUUCAUGACCUAUAAUAAACUUUGUACUUUCUAGACCAGGAGGAAGCCACAGGGCUAGUUUGAGGCCUGAUGGAGCAGUUCUGGCUGUUGAUUCUGAUAGCCCAAGGUAAGAGUUCCCUUCCCCAAGAUACCAUCUGAUCUACUACAACAUGACAUGGGAAGUUCUCACAUUCCAGCAGAUUUGUUUGGAGUCCCAGAGUCCUUAUUGAUGAGAUUUUGAUUAUAGGGUCAACCAGUAAACCAGUUCCAGAUUUACCCUUUAAAAUAAAACUAAAAUAGGUGAAACACAUUUUUUUUGGAUUCCAGAUCCCUGGGGGAGGGGGGGGGUCCUAGAUCCAGAUAAGAGAAAGGCACUUCUCCACUUAGUAGUCAGGAUUGUCAUGGUUACCGAAUGUUUCACAUGACUCACAAGUACACCCUGCUCUCCUAUAAAGCAUUAUUUGCAUUUCAAAGAAACACGCAUUUUUCAAAAUCCCCUUCUAAAAACAUUUGUUUCAAUGGGGAAAAUAGAAUUAAUGUCUAGAAAAGUUGAGACUUGCAAUAGCAAAGUUAUAUUUGCUGCAAGAAUUUUAAUAAUAAAGUUUUUACUAGAGCUAUAAGUAUACAGCUAUAAAACAUAGACCUCAAUGAGCAAAUUCAGGGUUUGAUUACAUGGAACAUUUGCUCGGGAGUAAUGGCUUUUCUUCUCCUUACCAACAAAAGCUCUAUCGUUAACAUAAAGCUUCUUACACAUUCUUAUCAAUUUUUAUCACUUUUAUCACUGUUAGGAUAAACAAAGCUUAAAGGCAUCCCAACCAAGUUGGUGUGUUAAGCUUAAAAAAAAAUACAGGUGACAGUCGCUCCCAAUUUUGAUGGCAUCAAUACCAACUACUCUUUACCUAAUGCAAAUUAGGUUUCCCAGUUGAUCAGUCACCUUAUAUCCAAUUUGAAUUAUGAAAAUGUGGUUGUGAGAGAAAUGCUUGCACUGAAUAAAAAUAGGCCAUUAGCUGGGACUUGGGAAUCCUUGUUAUUCAGACAUUUUUUAUAGACUCUUACAUAAUAUUCUAUAAUGUGCUGUAAUAUUUAAUUAUCUCACAACAUUAAAAGGUAAAAGUUUUAAUUAUAAAUGAAACUGGUUGGGGAGAGGAGUGAGAAGUAAAUUGAAUUAUAGCGCAAUUUCUCAGUAUUUAAU
ensembl:lncRNA